UCCCUUCCCAUGUCGCCUGUUCUUUCCUGCGUACGUACGCAGGAGGCAUGAUGCAGCUGGCAGCGCGACUAGACGGCCUCUCCUCUGGUCGAAACCUAUGUCUUGGGAGCUGGAGGCAGCGCCCGACGUUUCGACUAGCUAGGCCCGCCACGCGCCCGUCGUCGCGUGGGCGCGGCGCGAGUACCCAAGCUGCUCACGCGACGUACCACCGUCGAGCACCUACGUGGCCCGCUCCAGCCAACGGCGUAUCGACACGACGUCCCUUGUCGUGGGGCUCUCGUCCACGCGUCCAGCGCUAGGGCCGUAGACCGAGCGAUGCCACCGGCUUGGCUCAUGUAAACUGGAUAGCGCACAACUGGAGCUUGCCGGCGAAGGCCAAAUGGACAUUGUCGCGGGCUGGUGCCUGCUGCUGAUGCGGGGCUGGUGCAGGUCUGUGUUGCCGCUUCCUCUUUGCUUCCUCCUUGCUUGCUCCUUCUCGAAAUCUGAUCGACCAAAAAGCCACCAACAAAAUCUGUCUGGUUUCUUCUCUUUCCCAUUUCGGACGCUUUCUAGAACCUACGGGAUCUGCUAUGUUCUUCUAGCUCAGGCAGGCGUCCCGAGCUGAGUGGCCCGAUUUCGCGUCGCUCUUCCUGCUGCUCGUCGCCGUCGCAUUCUUCGCUACUUCCAUGCACGUGUAAGAGUCGGCCGGGUUUCGUUUCGACCCCCUCGCGAAACACAGAGAUUCAUGGUGCAUCCACGUUGAACCAACGGACGUGCGUGGAAGGUAAGCGCGACGAACCUGGCCGCGGGCAAGAAGAUCUCGCGGCGCCGGCAAGAUCGACGAAGAACUGGUGAGCGCGCGCGGGAUAGAAGAUCUCGCCGCUCCAGCGAUUUUUUGGUCCCCGCCGUCGGCGAGCGCACCGCACAGAUUGGCGGCUGCCGGUGUUCCAGCAUUGCGGCAAGACCACUCGCCACACAGAUAGGCAUUGACAUUGAUAGGCGUUCGCGUCGGAUGCAGGCUGCACGGCAUGCAGGGACGGUCUCAAGGAAGAACUGCUGGAAGUACCGUGUAUGCGCGACGCCAAGGUCAGGAGUCACAGCCCGGUCAGUGCUAAUUAAGAUUCUCUCCAAACACAAUUCCGUUUCCAUGGAAGCUGCGGGAUAGACUCAGAGAUGCAACGUUAAGAUGAACAUGGCAACUACACUCCUACAGGUGCCAUAAAUACACAGGCUGCAAGGUAUGCACUGAUAAAAAGUUGCCUGAAUUGUUUUACAUUGCU